UGGAUCAGUGAUGAUCAAUACCAGUAUAUGAGUCAUGGAUGAUGAAUAAUAUGUGUCUGGAACUCUGAGGUCCAA
ensembl:snoRNA